GUCAGCUCGUGUCGUGAGAUGUUCGGUUAAGUCCGGCAACGAGCGCAACCCACAUCCCUAGUUGCCAGCAGUUCGGCUGGGCACUCUAUGGAAACUGCCCGUGAUAAGCGGGAGGAAGGUGUGGAUGACGUCAAGUCCUCAUGGCCCUUACGGGUUGGGCUACACACGUGCUACAAUGGCAGUGACAAUGGGUUAAUCCCAAAAAAACUGUCUCAGUUCGGAUUGUCGUCUGCAACUCGACGGCAUGAAGUCGGAAUCGCUAGUAAUCGCGAAUCAGAAUGUCGCGGUGAAUACGUUCCCGGGCCUUGUACACACC
rnacentral:rRNA from 13 species